UUCCAUACGCGUGUAGCAACGUGUCUUUGGGGAAGUUGCAUCUGCGAUGCUCUUGUAACCCUUCAUAGCGGUGGUCAUCUCGCAGUUCCGCCGUGGCUUUUGUAUGUGUAGCACGCGUUAUUUCUUGUUUCUUCCAAUAAAGUAUUUUUACAUAACGGUUAUGUUGAGUCAUGGACACAAAAGCGUCCGCGCCUGUGCGAACUGUUGCAAGAGGAGGAAGAUAUGUGAAUGGUACGAGAUGACGUGAUCGACGUGCGUGUGUGAAUAUGUGCGAAGGAUGAUGCCGAAGGGGCGGUUUUCCACCAAAGUAGGCACAGUGGCACCUUCGUUGGCGUCGUGUCCUGAUGAUCUUUUGACAAGUUGGUUUUAUUUGACAAUAUGAGAUAUAUUUUGCUCCUUGUAGAUUUAUAUGUCCAUAUUUGCUAUAUAUUA